GCCUUGUUUUGUUGCUGAUGCUCGUAAUGCUGGUGAUGAGGUGGAGGGAGAAGGCGUAGAGAGGUAAACAGGUGGCAAAGCUUAUGUGCCAUUCUAUGGCUUUGAUUUUUUUUCACUCAGAGCUCUGGGGAGUCAUUAAAGCUUUCUGAGCUGGAGAAUGGCAUAAUCAGAUUUGAAUUUGUAAGAGCUCAUUCUGGCAGUGGUGUAGAAAGGGCUAGACUGUAGACAGGGAGAUUGGUUGGAAAGCAAUUUAAUGAAUUGAAGCCAUUGGGAAGGAAAAUUAAAGGAAAGGGUGAGGUUGCAGAAAUAUUCAGGCCUUUUUUAUUUUUAAUUUUUAUGGAUACAUAAUAGUUGUACAAUUUUAAAAUAUAAAAUAAAUAUAUUUCUAUAGCAAAAAAGGAGAAAUAUUUAGUUCUAAAGAUUAUUUUAUUUUUCCAAAGCGGAUUCUAAAAAGACUUGCUUCUUUACGGCCAUCACCUACAGGGAGGAAUUUUUUCUUCUCCUCAUCAAGUGGUCUACAGGAACUCACAGCAAGGAAAUAAUAUUCAGAGAUAUGAAUCACGUGCACGGUGGUUCAUGCCUGUGAUCCUAGUGCUUUGGAAGGAGGAAAGAUUGCUUGACACCAAGAGUUGAGAUCACUUUGAACAACAUAGCAGAACUUUGUCUCUACCAAAAUGUACUUUUUCCAUAUCUGAGUUUGGUAGCAUGCACCUGUAAUAAUCUUGGCUACUUGGCAGACUGAGUACACACACCAGAGAACGACCAUGUGAGCACACAGGAAGAUGACCACCUUUUGCAAGCCAAAAAGAAAGCGCUCACAAGCAACCAAAUAGGCCAGCACCCUGAUUUUGGACUUCCCAGCUUCAAGAAGUGAGAGUAAUAAGUUUGUAUUCUUUAAGUCAUCCAGGUUACAAGCAGACUAAAGCAGCUUCUUCCACUUGUUCAAAAUUCUACAUUUUAAAUUUUUAUAAUGUGUUUUGGUUGUUUUAAGUACAACUUUGCAGUAUUUCUUAUCUUUGGUGGCAUUUUCAGAAUACCAAAUAAAAGCAGGUUGAACAAUAAAGACAUUUAUUUUCUCAGUAAAAAAAGUGACAAGUUCAGCAGUGUCAGUUCCAAUCUUCAUCCAGUGGCUCAGCGACAUAAUCAAGGACUGUCUCUUCUCAUUUUUCCCUGUCCACUGUCCUCAGAAGAUUGUAGAACCUCAUAAUUGAAAGACGGCCAUUGCACUUUCUAUGAUCAAAAGUUCUUAUCAGAUAUCACUGAAAGCAGAAAGGAUAAGAUCAGAAGGAAAAAUUGUCUUUGGUGGUGGUAAAUUAAAUAACCAAGAGACCAUUAGUCCGACUCUGUCUCCAUACUUUGAGUUCACACAUAACAAACCACAACCUAACAUAGUAUGUAAACCAAAACUGAACUUAGAAGUACAUUUUUUUGGUAACCAAUAAUCAGGUUUCAUCCAGUCACAAAUAGCACAGUUUCAGCCAGUCACAGGCAGCCAACUAAUCAAACCAUGUUGAAAUAAGGAAAAUACCUCAUCAUAGCAUACCCAAAUAAGACAGAUGCUUAGCUUUCCUGCUAAUCAGGAAACUUUCCUAUUUUGCUUCCAUGUUCAGCCUAUAAAAGCUUGCUGCUCUCACUGCUAGGUGAGCUCUCUGAACUUCUUCUGGCUCUGAGUGCUGCCCAAUUCAUGAAUUAUUAUUUUUCACUCAAAUAAACUCUGUAAAAUUUAAUUUUUCUGAAGUUCUUUUUUUUGGACACUGGUUAUAAAUUGAGUCACAUCCCCACCUAAAUAAGACAAUUAUUGAUGAAUGGGAAUGGAAUUACCAUGAUUGUUUAACUAAUAAUUAUGUAUACCCUAGGUCUUGGUCCACUGCCAAAAAUAGUGUUCUAUUGAUUAAGAACAAAAUCGAGGAUCAGCCUAUAUCAUUAUUUGAAGUGUAAUCUAAUAUGAUGUCACAUUAUCAAAUCUCCUUCACUGUCAAGAUGGUUGCCAACUCAAUAAUAUCAGCACUUCAACAAAUAUGACUUAGACUCAGAUGGGAGUUAAAGCCAAGGGAGGUUUUUCAUAUGGUUGAAUAAUGGAAAUUUUGUGAGAAUGCUCCAAACAUCUAGUUUCUGUUCCCACCAAUCUGACUGGGGAACAGGCAUCCUGCAGUGGCUGUAAUCCAGAUCCUCCCCUUUAGGAUUGAGGCACAUUCCCCAGCUGCCAGGAAUGUUUGUUCAAAAUGGUAAUUAUAUGGCACCAUAUUUCUUCUCAUAGUUUCUCUGUAAAUUUCCUCAUUUCUGAAUUAUUAAAAAAUUAAGGUCCUGUUCUUGCUACCAUAUCAGAGUAAAACAAAUAAAUAUUUUUCUGUUGGCAAGAGGUAACUUUUCUAAAACAAAAAUAGUUAAUGUUCCAUCCUGGCCAGCAUGGUGAAACCCUGUCUCUACUAAAAAUACAAAAAUUAGUGUGGCAUGGUGGUGUUCACCUGUGGUGCUAGCUACUCAGGAGGCUGAGGCAGGAGAAUCUCUUGAACCUGGGAGGCGGAGGUUGCAGUGAGCCGAGAUCGUGCCACUGUACUCCAGCCUGACAACAAAGCGAGAUUCUGUCAAAAAAAAAAUAGUUAAUAUCUUAGGUAGUUUGGUUUUAUUAUGUAAACUGUCACCCCAACAAUCAUGUCUUUUAUAUCUAUAAAUGCUUCAUGGAAAUCAGAGACAGAUGGCUAAGGUCUAAAUAUGGCAAUAUCUAGCAUACGAAAACAGCCAUGGAAGAUGAGUUAGGAAGAAUAAUGGUCCUUCAAAUACAUCCACAUUCUUAUAUGCUGAGCCUGAUAUAAAAGAUUAUAUUUAUAUGAUAUUUAUAUGUUAUAUAAUUAACAAAUGUUUACGAUGUUACAAAACAUAAUAACAUUUAUUCUGUCUGCUACCUUAAUCACUCUUUACUUUCCAUGGCAAAGAAUGAUUAACGUAGCAGAUAGAAUAAAUGUUGCUAAAUUAGCUGCCCUUAAAAUUGAUUGUCUGGGCAGACUUGAUGCGAUGACAAUGCUCAUUUAAAGUGGAAAAAGGAGGCUGAGUAGGACAUCAUAGUGAUACAAUAUGAAAAGAUCUCAACCCUCUUUAUCCGGCUUUGAAGAUGGAGAAAGGGAACAAAGAGCCAAGGAAGGUGGGUUGUCUCUAGAAGCUGAAAACUGCAAGAAACUGUCUCUUCUCUGGAGCCUCCAGAAAAGAAUGCAGCCCUGCCUACACCUUUAUUUCAGCCCUGUGAGACAUUUGACCCCCA
rnacentral:lncRNA from 1 species